rnacentral:rRNA from 1 species
UGGGGGAUAUUGCACAAUGGGCGAAAGCCUGAUGCAGCGACGCCGCGUGAGGGAAGACGGCCUUCGGGUUGUAAACCUCUGUCUUUGGGGACGAUAAUGACGGUACCCAAGGAGGAAGCUCCGGCUAACUACGUGCCAGCAGCCGCGGUAAUACGUAGGGAGCGAGCGUUGUCCGGAAUUACUGGGUGUAAAGGGAGCGUAGGCGGGAGUGCAAGUUGGAUGUGAAAACCACGGGCUCAACCCAUGGACUGCAUUCAAAACUGUAUUUCUUGAGUGAUGUAGAGGCAGGCGGAAUUCCUAGUGUAGCGGUGAAAUGCGUAGAUAUUAGGAGGAACACCAGUGGCGAAGGCGGCCUGCUGGGCAUUUACUGACGCUGAGGCUCGAAAGUGUGGGGAG